ACAGACACGGGAUGACACGAAGAGAUACCGAAGACAAAGCAGAAAGGAAAAGAAAGGUCACAUCAUUUGUGUGAUGUUCG
rnacentral:ribozyme from 1 species